rnacentral:rRNA from 1 species
CGGUGUUCAACUGGCGUGUCCGCGGGACGUCCUGCCGGUGGGCUUAGCCCGCAAGGGCGGCCCAACUUCAAAUCCCAUCGCGGUGCUCUUCACUGAGUGUCGAGGUGGGCCGGCACGUUUACUUUGAACAAAUUAGAGUGCUUAAAGCAGGCUAAAACUUCGCCUGAAUACUGUGUGCAUGGAAUAAUGGAAUAGGACCUCGGUUCUAUUUUGUUGGUUUUCGGAACCCCGAGGUAAUGAUUAAUAGGAACGGAUGGGGGCAUUCGUAUUGCGACGUUAGAGGUGAAAUUCUUGGAUCGUCGCAAGACGGACAGAAGCGAAAGCAUUUGCCAAAAACGCUUUCAUUGAUCAAGAACGAAAGUUAGAGGUUCGAAGGCGAUCAGAUACCGCCCUAGUUCUAACCAUAAACGAUGCCAGCUAGCGAUCCGUCGACGUUCCUCCGAUGACUCGACGGGCAGCUUCCGGGAAACCAAAGCUUUUGGGUUCCGGGGGAAGUAUGGUUGCAAAGCUGAAACUUAAAGGAAUUGACGGAAGGGCACCACCAGGAGUGGAGCCUGCGGCUUAAUUUGACUCAACACGGGAAACCUCACCAGGCCCGGACACCGGAAGGAUUGACAGAUUGAGAGCUCUUUCUUGAUUCGGUGGGUGGUGGUGCAUGGCCGUUCUUAGUUGGUGGAGCGAUUUGUCUGGUUAAUUCCUAUAACGAACGAGACUCUAGCCUGCUAACUAGGCGUAUUUUCGACAUCUCAAAGGUCCGUCGUCCCGGCCCUCGGGUCGUGGGCGUGCGCGAUUUUUACUGUCGGCGUACUAUCAAUUCUUCUUAGAGGGACAGGUGGCUUCUAGCCGCACGAGAUUGAGCAAUAACAGGUCUGUGAUG